rnacentral:lncRNA from 1 species
GGUACAUUUAGAGGCUGGAAUCUGGAUUGCUGCAGGCACACUGCGCGGGGCCUUGAGUUGGCCUGGGCUCGGGCCCCGUGUCCUGUCCUGUCCGCUGCCCACGUCCAGCACCACGUGGCUUUCCUAUACCUGGAAAGCCAGAAUGCCCCCUCAGAGUCCCCCAGGGAGAGCAGUGGGUGGCGAGGAGAGGCAGGCAGCCUAGACAGAACCGGGGCUUUGGUUUCUUCAACACCGAGUCUGUGGCUGUGUGUGUGUGUGUGAAUAUCCGGGGGUGCUCUCACCCACACUUCACAGCCUUGUGCCAUGGUUGACCUGGACCAACAAACCAGUCAUCCUGAAAUCACCUACUUUUUCACACCCUCAUCUGCCCAGAGAAGGUCUUUUCCUAUCGCCUGAGCAGAGGACGCCAUGUAACAGGUGGGUGUUCACCUGGCACAAGGUCUCCAGGCUCCUGGGCUAGAGCUCAUGGGCGCUGGGCACCUUCAGAGGGGGAAGUGGGGCUUCCCGCUGGGUAGGAGGCUCUUCCUGCUGGUAAUGAGGCAGCAGUGAGCUAAGGUGAAUAACAGAGCUGGCAGCCGGCUGUGCCCACUGAAAGGAGACUACUAUGACGGGAGCCAGGUUUGCAGAGGGAAAAGCCUGAGACGCACAAUCAGAGAUCUGGGCCCCGAUGGAGUCUGUGCCCCUUCUCCUGCCAGGCUUGGGGCAAGCUGCCUCUCCGAUCUCCGUCCCCUCCUCUGUCCAAGUGGGGCUGACCCUACCGGCGCUCACUGGCGCUGCGCAGAGUCACGAGAUGACACAGGCAUAUACCCCACGCUCGCCUACGACCUGAUUUUCAAUACAUGGCAGCUGUAUUGGGAUGCCUGGGCCUUCAAACUUCUUUGAAGCGGCGCCCGCAGCUGCGGCACCGCGCAGGGUUCCGGCUCAGGCCCCAGUCACGGCCUGCAGGGAGGCGGGGCUCCGCAGUCCCCGCCCCGGGACAGCGACCGGCGGGGCCUGGCGGGCGCACUGCAAAGGCAGGGAGACAAUGGAGAAUUUGGAAAAUCCAGGAGAGCACAGAUCAAAAUGAGAACGCUUUCAGAAUCUCGCAGCCCCAACCAUGGCCGAGAGUUCCUUUUUGGGGGGGUAAAUAUAGAGAUUUUUACGUAAUGGGGAUAACACUGUACACAUACUUACGGGUGCCUUAAAAACAACUCCUUUUUUUUUUUUUCUGACCCUAAAGCCACUUGUUUAUUUCAGAAAAUUUGGAAAACUGAAAAAUACAAAGAGGAAACUCAAAGUAACCCGAGAGUCCACCACACGAGAUUAACAGUGUUAACAUUUUGGCGUUUUUCCUUCCUUGUUUUUACACAAUUACGCAUAUGUUCGGAACAUAAUUGGGAUGGUAGUGUAAACAUUGUUUUGCAACUUUCUCCUUUCAUGCACAGCUGUAUUAUCAAUGUCCCUACAUCACUGGGUGCAUCUACUGUGCUGUUUGUAAUCACACAGCCCUCUGUUGGGUGGUCCUUACGUUAUGUCAUUUAUAUGCUGUGAUUGGACAUUGAUGUUUACAGUUUCCAUCUCUUUCUGGCUCCCUCCUUUUAUGAUGGACUGCCUGGUAGCUGCAUCUUUGUGCAGGCUCAUUAAAUUCCUCACGGCGGGGCGCCUGGGUGGCACAGUCGGUUAAGCGUCCGACUUCAGCUCAGGUCAUGAUCUCGCGGUCCAUGGGUUCGAGCCCCGCGUCAGGCUCUGGGCUGAUGGCUGGGAGCCUGGAGCCUGUUUCCGAUUCUGUGUCUCCCCCUCUCUCUGCCCCUCCCCCGUUCAUGCUCUGUCUCUCUCUGUCCCAAAAAUAAAAAAAUUAAAACGUUAAAAAAAAAAAAUUUA